CUUUCCAUGGUGCUGAAAGAGGAGGUUGCUGUCAAAUACUUUUCCAGAAGAUGGAACUGGCCACGCCUGGCUUAAGCUGGAGAGCGGGGGCUGUCCAUGGUGCUGAAAGAGGAGGUUGCUGUCAAAUACUUUUCCAGAAGAUGGAACUGGCCACGCCUGGCUUAAGCUGGAGAG